rnacentral:ribozyme from 1 species
UUUUCAUUUUUUUUUUUACUUUUUUUUCUUUUUCCUACCCAUCUUCCUGUUACUUCUUUGUGGACUAUGACGGAUGUCGAAGCGAAUAAAACCGUUAAAAAACCACAAUCCAUUAAUAUUGAUGGG